AUUACAAUUAAGAUAAUAGUAAAUCUAAAGGUUUGUGGUACCUUAAAUACCUUAUGGUUUGUAAUC
rnacentral:tRNA from 1 species